UAUUACCUCUCUCUCUCCUUAUUUUUCUCUCUUUAACACGUGAAGGAAGAAGAUCGGCCGUCCCUAGAGCAAGUGGCAAAGGGCUUGGUGGUUGGUAUCCAAGACCCAAGUUCGAAUCCUAGUUGAUUCACAUUUCUAGCUAAGUUUAUUUCUAAAUGAAAUAAACGAAGCGGAUAACGUGCUACCUAUCUCUCUCAAAAAAAAAAAAAAA
rnacentral:lncRNA from 1 species